AACGAACGCUGGCGGCGUGCUUUAACACAUGCAAGUCGAACGCGAAAAACGGGCUUCGGUCCGUCGGUAGAGUGGCAGACGGGUGAGUAACACGUGGGUAACCUGCCCGGAGGUGGGGGAUAACCCUUCGAAAGGAGGGCUAAUACCGCAUAACAUCCCGAGAUCCUCGGAUCACGGGAUCAAAGCUGGCCUAUUCUUGAAAGCUAGCGCCACCGGAGGGGCCCGCGCCCCAUUAGCUUGUUGGUGAGGUAACGGCUCACCAAGGCGACGAUGGGUAGCCGGCCUGAGAGGGCGAUCGGCCACACUGGAACUGAGACACGGUCCAGACUCCUACGGGAGGCAGCAGUGAGGAAUCUUGCGCAAUGGGCGAAAGCCUGACGCAGCGACGCCGCGUGGAGGAUGAAGGCCUUCGGGUCGUAAACUCCUGUCGAGAGGGACGAAAGUCGGGGAGGUUAACAGCCUCUCCGGUUGACGGUACCUCCAAAGGAAGCCCCGGCUAACUCCGUG
rnacentral:rRNA from 1 species